rnacentral:lncRNA from 1 species
UUUCUUAAAGAUAUCUAAACAAAUAAAAGUUACAUUUAGUGCCAUAUUUAAUUUCAUUAGACAUUUUAGAAUCCAAAGUCAUAAUUUUAUAUUACGUGGAAUUACAAAUAAAAUAAUAAAAAUAUAUUAUUGAUUAGCGGCACAAAACUUAUAUAUCAAAACAUGGAAUAUUCUAGCUUAAAGUAAAUUUAUUUGAUCUUUUCUAGUUAAAGAAACAUAUUUUUCUUUCGUGGUGUUUAUGUACUCUCUUAGAAGUAAUUCUCAUACUUUAAGUAGUUUCGCUUCAAAAAACCUACAUUUGUUGUUAAUACACUUACAAAUUAAAUCAGGCAUGUGAGAAAUAUCUUGACAAUCUUGAACAGUCUCACAUUUACGAAAUGCUGCAAUGAAAAAUAAAACAAAAUAAUGUUGUAAAAACGAGAUAAAAUAUUUAAUAAAAACAAUAAAAUAAGGAAGAAAAAUUCAUAAGGUGGGAAAAUUGUUUACCAUCAACCUCCUUUAAAACAAGGAGUAUGAAAAGAGAUAAAAUCAUAGCACAAAAAAACUUUGGUGUUUUACCCAUUAUUUUCCUCUACAUGUAACAAAUAGAAUAAGAUUUGAUGACUUUAUAGUGUAAAAGAUUCAUGCAAUGUUAAAAUAAAUAAAUAUAUUUUUACAAUUUGAGUAGAUUAAAAUAAUUUUUUCGUCACUUUAAAAAUUUAAUCAAUAUUUUUUAAGUAGAUUAAUGUGUUAUGAGUUGCCUCUUUAGCGACACCAAAUUUUUUUAAAAGAAGAAAUAUAAAAAGAAUUAAAAUUAUAGCACAAAUAAACUUUGGAGUUUUAGCCAUUAUUUCCUCCUUUACAUAUAAUAUGAUUUGAUCGCUUCAUGGUGUAAAAGGCUCAUGCAAUGCUAAAAAAAAUAUAAAUAUUUUUACAACCUGAGUAUAUUAAAAUAUUUUGUUUGUCACUUUUAAGAACUUAAUCAAUAAAAAAUGAGAAGAUGAAUGAUGGGGAUGGCAGAUCGUAGAUUUAGCGUGGAAGAGUUGUAAGUUUAGCAUUCAACGUUCAAGUUGAUAUUUGAGAAAGAAGAGUGGAUUCAAAUUGUAUUUGAAACUUGUUAUUUGAAUUUGACAAUUUUUCUAUAUAUAAUAGAGAGAGAAUAAAUAACUCACUAUUAGAUACAAGUGAAUUGCAGAGAUAUGUAGGAUGCAUUUACAUCUAUAUCAUUGGUUAUCAUUAGUAUGAUAAUCUUCUCAUAUUAAAAAGAUUUUGGAAGGAGUGAGACCUUUCUCUGCCCGUUAACCGAGAUUGAUGUGGUUGGCUCAGAGUCUUCCAGUGUCGAUCUUGUCGUCCUAUAACAAAAAUAAAUAAAAUCCUAUCAAAAUAAACUUUGGAAUUUUAGCCAUUAUUUUCCCUUUGCAUGCAACUAAUAGAAUAUGAUUUGAUCAUUUUAUAGUGUGAAAGGGUCAUGCAAUUCUAAAAAAAAUAUUUUGUUUGUCACUUUUGAGAAUUUAAUCAAUAGCUCUUAAGUAUAUUAAUAUCUUAGUGUAUUGCCCCUUUAACGAUCAAAACUCUUUAAAAUAAGCAAUAUAAAACGAAAAAGAAACACAAUAUAAUUUUUUUUGGAGUUUUAGCCGGUAUUUCCCUCGUAGCAUUUAACAAAUAGAAUAUGAUUUGAUGACUUUAUAAUGUGAAAUCAAAAUAGUCCAACUUGAUAUUGUCUAGAAUAUCAAUAGAAAUAUUGAUCAUGUCUGAUACUGAUUGAUCUAAUAGCAUAUGUACUACAUAAAUACACACAAUAACACAAGAUACACCUUUCGUGCAUCAAGAUACAUUGUAAUAAGACAUCUUACCUUUCGUGCACACAAGGAACUAAAGGAAAUUAAUGAGAACAUAUAAUCAACUACAUGAUAUAAAGACAUCUUACCUUUUACUUUACCUGUCAUCUAAUCAUUGGGAGAAAAAAAGUAAAUAUAGGGUGAUAUAUUAAUCUCAAGGAAUUCUCACUACAAUCAUAAGUUCACUCUAAGACUAGUUACCAUUCAUUUAUCCUACUACCCAUAUUAUUAAGUAUCUCACAAUAAUACUUGAGAUACUCAACAUCUUAAAGAACACCAUGAUGUAAUCCAUCUCACACACUAUAGAGAAAAUGAAAAAUUAUCCCAUAGACCAAUAUGAACCCACAUAUCCUAACCUUAAUGGUCCUCCAUAAUUCGAGUCUAGUUUAUGGAAUCAUCAAUAUCUUACUACAAUUUUGUGAGACUCCAGUUUGACUUUCCAGAUCAUAUAACUAGUGUACACAAUGAGAUAUUCUUCUCCCUACAUGCAUACAAGUUUUUUUAAUUCCUCAAAACAGUGAUACUAGAACAACCGCAUAACCACUAUACAACUUUACCCUCAAUACGGAAGUGAGUUGAACUCGUCGUUAGAAAUAUACUCCUCCUACUAUUCUAAUCACUUAGGCAUUUUUACUUAGUUAUUUUUUAGCUUACAACUCUUAUUUAUACAUUAUUCUUUACUAAUCUCAAUUUACUAUUCUAGAAAGUAUUGCUCAAGUUGAUCACUUCAACUUCAUUCUUUUACUAUUGUUCUUACACGAUAUCCCGUUACUUGUGAAUGUACUAAAACAGGGGCUUGAACCAAGAAUAGGCAAAAACGGACAAGAAGACUUGACCUAUUAUAGUAUGUCCAUAAAGUCGGUUACGACCCUUAACUUUCUUAAGAGGCCUCCUGGUACAAAACCUAGGGGACGAUAUGGCCUAGAAAUAAUAUAGGAUACAAUAUGUAAUACAUUAGGGCCCUAAAUUCAUCUUCUUACUCACUCAUGCCUGUAAUAAAAAAGGUUCCUUCCUCUUUUCUCUCUAGCAUUCAUGAUUCAAAAUUAGAUUUAACAUCAAGUAAAUGCUAGAAAUUUUAGAACAUCCAAUUUAACAUGCAAUCAAGAGUCCUACUUGGAUUUUUACCUAUUUCCGCAUAAAAUAUAAUGAUCCUAAUUCAAUCUACCCAAAUCACAAACUUAAGAGAACCCAACUUUUCUCUUGUUUCUGAUUUCAAGAGGUAUAAGUGUUUGUAUUUGGUUGAUAAUCUUUGAUGCAUUCCACUUCUUGUCCUCUAAAAUAUUGUAAAAUCUCAUCUCUACAUGCAAGGCUUAAAGGUGUUUGAACUUGUUGUCCCUUUCCCCUUACUCAUGCACUUUGUCUAUCUCCAUUCAUGCUAAAGUUAUCUCAUCUCUCUACAAUUUUAAAAUGAGAACGUGAGAAGAAAAGAGUCAAUUAUCUUCUCUUUGGCUUUUUAAACCGCCUUGGAAGAAGACACUAAUAACCUUACUAUAAAUUAAUAUGCUUGUUGCCUCUUUUUUAUAAGACUUCCUUUACAUAAACAUAUUUAAUUUUCAAAGGAAAUUAGGGAUAUUACAACUCUCCCUUCCUUAAUUAAAAUUCAUCAUCAAAUUUAAAGAAUUACCUAAAGAGGUGUAGGUAGUUUGUUUGUAUUUUAGCUUUCAAUUCUUAGGUAGCUUCUCAUGGAUGUGAUUCCUCCUUCAAUACAAACAUCAUCUCUUUGUUCCUUAGAGAUUUCAGUGUAUAGUACACUAUUUGGAUAGUUAGAGGCUAAAAAGUGAGGUGCAUUAUAAUCUUGAUUGUGCCUAGAAGAAUAGGUUGAAAAGGAUCUGGUACAAACUUCUAGAGUUGAGAUACAUGGAACACAACAUGAAGCCCGGAUAAGGGAGGUGGUAAUGCCAAAUUGUAACCCAUUUCUCCUAUUUUACAUAUGAUUCGAUAAGGUCCAAUGAACCACAUAAUAAAUUUCUUCGUCUUAAAUGGUUCCUUUAAUCCUUAUUAAGGGGUGACUUUCUAGAAUACAUGAUAUUCUUCAUCAAAUUCCAAAGGCCUCAUAUGCUAAUCCACAUAGAUCUUUUGAAGAUCCAUAUUUUCCUCAUUUUCUCUUGAACUUUCCUUAUUUUAUCCAUGGUCUAAUGAAUUGUCUUAGGCACUAGCAUUCCUUUAUCUCCCACUUCUAUCCAACAUAAGGGGGUAUAGAAUUCCCUCAUGUGCAAAGCUUGAUAGACACCAUCCCAAUACUAUAAUGGUAACUAUUGUUAUAUGCGAAUUCCACCAAUGGCAGGUGCUUAUUCUAACUUCCUUCAUCUUCUAAGAUACAAGCCCCUCAACAUAUCUUACAAGGUCUGCAUGGUUCUUUUUGUCCGAUCUUCUGAUUGCAUAUGGUUAUCUCUCAUAAAAUUCAAUUUGGUCCCCGUCACAUGGUGAAAAACAUCCCAAAAUAUAGAUGUGAACUUUGGGUUGCGAUCAAACACAAUGCUUAUUUCACUUGUUGACAUACCAUAUACCUAGACAUAAAUUUUUCUCUUUAUCUCUUCAUUAUAGGCCACGCAUAUUUUCCCUUCAGGUCAUGAUACAUUUUAGAAGAAUCAUGAUGAAUAAUGAUGAUGAUUUUGUAAGCUUAUUCCAUAAUUACUCUCCUCAGCUCCGAAUAAUUUGAGACACACAUCUUUCCUAAGAAUAAAACAGCUUCACUUGUCGGUUGGGUGAACCCUAGUUGAUUUUUCUUAUCUUGAAAUUCUACAUCCAAUAAUUGGGUUUGCCUUAUUCUAUCCCUAAGGUCACAUAAAAUAUUCGUCUAACUUAUAAAGACUCCGUUUUAGGUCUGAGUGAAAUUCAAGUCGAGAUCUCAAAAUUUCUUUAGCAAAUUGUACUAUAAUAUCAUUAACUCUGCUAUGUGAAACUCAUUUCUUCUUAAUGUAUCCCCUACCUUGUUUUCCUUUUUAAGGUGAUACCUUAAUUCAAAGUCAUAAUCCUUCAUAAAGUUCAUUCACCUUCACUAGCGCAUAUUUAGUUCCUUCUAAUCGAACAUAUACUUCAUGCUUUUAUGAUUGCUGAACAUUUCAAAAUGCACUCCAUAAAUGUAGUGACUCCACACCUUAAGUGCAAAAAUGGUCGCAUCUAACUCUAAGUCAUGGGUCGAAUAAAUGUCUUUAUGCAAUUUCAAUUAUAUGGACACAUUGGCCACAACUUUUCCAUUUUCUGUUAAGACAUACUCCAAUCCUUUCUUUAAGGUGUUGCAUGAAAACUUUGUACUUUUGUGUAAGGUUUGUAAUAAUUAAAAAUAUAGUGGUGGCUAACUUAUUUUUUAUCUUUUGAAACUACGCUCACACUUAGAAUCCCAUUGAAAUUGAGUCUCCUUACGUGUCAUUCGAGUCAAAAGCAUGGCUAAUUGAGAAAACCCUAGAACGAGUCGACAAGAUUCUUAGCCUUCUCUUUCCCAGAUUUCUUGAUGAAUCUUGCUUGUAGUUCCUGUUCAGCCACCUUCUCCCAUUCUGAGUUCAUCUACUUCAACCCAUCUCAUGAGCCUCUAAUGAAGCUUGAAGUUCUUCUAACUUCAUCUCAGCUAGGUUCUUGGACUCUUCAAUUGACACUACAAUGUAAUCAAACUUUGUAGUCAAUGAUCUCAACACUUUCUCAAUCUUUUUCAAAUUGUUGAUUGAAUCACCACACUAUUUCAUCUGGUUCGUUAGCAGCACCACACGUGAAAGAUAUUAUGAGACUAAUUAAUCUUCCUUCUUCUGAGUCAUCUCGAAUUUCUUUCUCAACAUCUGCAACUUCACCCUUUUCAGUUUUUCAUCUCCGCCGUACAAGCUUUACAACUUGUCUGAUGGUCCUUUCGCCAUUUCUUCUUCAAUAAUCUUCUCAAGCACGUUAGAAUCCACAUACUAGUGAAUCAAGAUCAUACAUUUUCCAUCUUUCUUUCUUCAUUCUUUGUGUGCCGCUUGCUGAGCUUCAUCUGCAUUCGUUUCCAAUAUUGGUACUACAUCGUUCACGAUUUCAGACACAUCUUGAAAUCUGAAGAUGACUUUCAUCUGCGCAACCCAUCAUUCAUAGUUCUCCUCUUUAAAUUUGGGUAAAUUCGCUAGAAAUUACGCUGAUGAUAUUGUUCCGUUUGCCAUUACAAAUUAUCUCUGAAUCACAAUCGGGCUCUUUGAUACCAAUUUGUUGGAACAAAAGUUUUCAAGAAAGAUAUAAGACAUAGAAGAAGAAGAGAGAAAAUAGAAAAAAUUGUAUGUAAAUUGAAUUAUGAAAAUUAAGUUAGAGUGAAGUUAUGUUUACAUCAUACAAAGUUCUUUAUAUAGAUAACUAAAACUCAUACCCAAACUAUAUAAACCGGCUCAAACCCAAAAUAAUACAAAAUUUAAAAUACAAAAUUAUAAAUUGCAAUUCGACAUUACUCUAUGUUGUAUUCGACUAUGUCAAAUACAACUAACUAUGACAAUUUCGACUACUUGCUUCAACCUAGUCGAAUGCUAACUCUCAAUCAGAACUUCGAAUUACAACUUCUAACACUUAUAAUUAAUAUAUAUAUAUAUAUAUAUAUAUAUGUAUAUAUAUAUAUAUAUUAUAUGAUUUUUAUAGGAGAUAAAUAAUUUAUAUUCUUGUUGAUUUUAUUAUAACUCCGGAAUGCAAAUUAUUUUUAUAUCUUACAUUUAAGCAUAUGUGUAGUCAUAUUAAGGUAAGAACAAUCGAUUAUGAUUUAUAAUAUGUCAAAUAGCUACUUAUUUGAGUGUUUAUCCUUUUUUUCUGAUACCGUGUUGCUUGCUACAUGGUUUGUGUGCAUAAGGUUAUACAUUUUUUUAGUGGAAUCUAUAUUCAAAUUAGUGCUAGUCUCUAUUAAAAAGUAAAUGGUAAUAAAAGCUCACAAUAAUACUCUUUUUUUUUGGUCUAAUUCGUGUUAUUUAGUAUGUAGAGUCCUGUUUCUGUUUUUAUUCGGUACACGUCAUACUUUUUUUACUUAUAUAACAGUGAGAAUUCAUUUUCUCAAUCCCUUUUAUGUUGUUUAUAUAUUUUUAGGAGAAUCUAUGUCAGAUUUUAAUUCAAGAAAAAGAUAAGCAUUGACUAAAGAUGACUUGAGCCGUCGUUAUCAUAAAAACGCCUGUCUAAAGGUGGUUAAAGCCAACCAUUAUCAAUAAAAGUACCAUCUAAAGAUCAUUUGAGCCAAUGGUGAUCAAUAAAAAUGAUUAUCAAUAUAUACAAAUAUAUAUAUAUAUAUAUAUAUAUAUAAAUAUAUAUAUAUAUAUAUAUAUAUAUAAUAUAUAUAUAUAUAUAUAUAUAUAUAUAAAGACAAUGCUUAUUAAUAUAAAGCAUUUCUUAAAGAUAGAUAUAUUUCUUCCGUGGUGUUUAUGUACUCUCUUAGAAGUAAUACUCAUACUUUAAGUAGCUUCGCUUCAAAAAACCUACAUUUAUUGUUAAUACACUUACAAAUUAAAUCAGGCAUGUGAGAAAUGUCUUGACAAUCUUGAACAGUCUCACAUUUACGAAAUGCUGCAAUGAAAAAUAGAACAAAAUAAUUUUAUAAAAACGAGAUAAAACAUUUAAUAAAAACAAUAAAAUAAGGAAGAAAACUUCUUAUGAUGGAAAAAUUGUUUACCAUCAACCUCCUUUAAAACAAGGAGUAUGAAAAGAAAUAAAAUCAUAGCACAAAAAAUCUUUGGUGUUUUACCCAUUAUUUUCUUCCACAUGUAAGAAAUAGAAUAAGAUUUGAUCACUUUAUAGUGUAAAAGGUUCAUGCAAUGUUAAAGAUAAAUAAAUAUUUUACAAUUUGAGUAGAUUAAAAUAAUUUUUUCGUCACUUUGAAAAUUUAAUCAAAAUUUUUU